rnacentral:rRNA from 1 species
AGCUUGCUAUCAGGCGUCGAGCGGCGGACGGGUGAGUAAUACUUAGGAAUCUACCUAGUAGUGGGGGAUAGCACGGGGAAACUCGUAUUAAUACCGCAUACGACCUACGGGAGAAAGGGGGCAGUUUACUGCUCUCGCUAUUAGAUGAGCCUAAGUCGGAUUAGCUAGAUGGUGGGGUAAAGGCCUACCAUGGCGACGAUCUGUAGCUGGUCUGAGAGGAUGAUCAGCCACACCGGGACUGAGACACGGCCCGGACUCCUACGGGAGGCAGCAGUGGGGAAUAUUGGACAAUGGGGGAAACCCUGAUCCAGCCAUGCCGCGUGUGUGAAGAAGGCCUUUUGGUUGUAAAGCACUUUAAGCAGUGAAGAAGACUCUUCGGUUAAUACCCGGAGACGAUGACAUUAGCUGCAGAAUAAGCACCGGCUAACUCUGUGCCAGCAGCCGCGGUAAUACAGAGGGUGCAAGCGUUAAUCGGAAUUACUGGGCGUA